GAUGAACGCUGGCGGCGUGCCUAAUACAUGCAAGUCGAGCGAACAGACGAGGAGCUUGCUCCUCUGACGUUAGCGGCGGACGGGUGAGUAACACGUGGAUAACCUACCUAUAAGACUGGGAUAACUUCGGGAAACCGGAGCUAAUACCGGAUAAUAUAUUGAACCGCAUGGUUCAAUAGUGAAAGACGGUUUUGCUGUCACUUAUAGAUGGAUCCGCGCCGCAUUAGCUAGUUGGUAAGGUAACGGCUUACCAAGGCAACGAUGCGUAGCCGACCUGAGAGGGUGGUCGGCCACACUGGAACUGAGGCACGGUCCAGACUCCUACGGGAGGACGCAGUAGGGAAUCUUCCGCAAUGGGCGAAUGCCUGACGGAGCAACGCCGCGUGAGUGAUGAAGGUCUUCGGAUCUUAGAACUCUGUUAUUAGGGAAGAACAAAUGUGUAAGUAACUAUGCACGUCUUGACGGUACCUAAUCAGAAAGCCACGGCUAACUACGUG
rnacentral:rRNA from 1 species